rnacentral:rRNA from 1 species
AGCAGCCGCGGUAAUUCCAGCUCCAAUAGCGUAUAUUAAAGUUGUUGCAGUUAAAAAGUUCGUAGUUGAAUUUCGAGAUCAAAUUGUUGGUCGUGCCUCGGUACGUACUGGCAUUAUUGAUUUCUCCUUUCUGAAGGACCAUGAUGUCAUUAAUUUGGUGUCUUGGGAAAUCAGGACUGUUACUUUGAAAAAAUUAGAGUGUUUAAAGCAGGCUCACGCUUGAAUACAUUAGCAUGGAAUAAUGAAAAGGACGUUUGAUUCUAUUUUGUUGGUUUCUAGGAUCGACGUAAUGAUUAAUAGGGAUAGUUGGGGGCAUUAGUAUUCAAUUGUCAGGGGUGAAAUUCUUGGAUUUAUUGAAGACUAACUACUGCGAAAGCAUUUGCCAAGGAUGUUUUCAUUAAUCAAGAACGAAAGUUAGGGGAUCGAAGACGAUCAGAUACCGUCGUAGUCUUAACCAUAAACUAUGCCGACUAGGGAUCGGAUGAUGUUAAUUUUUAAUGACUCUAUCGGCGUCCGUUAA